rnacentral:rRNA from 1 species
GACGAACGCUGGCGGCGUGCUUAACACAUGCAAUUCGAACGGAAAGGCCCCUUUGGGGGUACUCGAGUGGCGAACGGGUGAGUAACACGUGAGUAACCUGCCCUUGACUUCGGGAUAACUUCAGGAAACUGGGGCUAAUACCGGAUAGGAAUCCUUGCUGCAUGGUGGGGGUUGGAAAGCUUCGGCGGUUUUGGAUGGACUCGCGGCUUAUCAGCUUGUUGGUGGGGUAGUGGCUUACCAAGGCUUUGACGGGUAGCCGGCCUGAGAGGGCGACCGGCCACAUUGGGACUGAGAUACGGCCCAGACUCCUACGGGAGGCAGCAGUGGGGAAUAUUGCACAAUGGGCGGAAGCCUGAUGCAGCAACGCCGCGUGCGGGAUGACGGCCUUCGGGUUGUAAACCGCUUUCAGCAGGGGCGAAGCUUUUGUGACGGUACCUGCAGAAGAAGCACCGGCUAACUACGUG